rnacentral:rRNA from 1 species
GGUUUAUGUUCCAAAUGAUUUAUCGCCGUAGGAUGGGACUGCGGCUAUCAGUUUGUUGGUGAGGUAAUGGCCCACCAAGACUAUUACAGGUACGGGCUCUGAGAGGAGUAGCCCGGAGAUGGGUACUGAGACACGGACCCAGGCCCUAUGGGGCGCAGCAGGCGAGAAAACUUUGCAAUGUGCGAAAGCACGACAAGGUUAAUCCGAGUGAUUUGUGCUAAACGAAUCUUUUGUUAGUCCUAGAAACACUAACGAAUAAGGGGUGGGCAAGUUCUGGUGUCAGCCGCCGCGGUAAAACCAGCACCUCAAGUGGUCAGGAUGAUUAUUGGGCCUAAAGCAUCCGUAGCCGGCUCUGUAAGUUUUCGGUUAAAUCUGUACGCUCAACGUACAGGCUGCCGGGAAUACUGCAAAGCUAGGGAGUGGGAGAAGUAGACGGUACUCGGUAGGAAGUGGUAAAAUGCUUUGAUCUAUCGAUGACCACCUGUGGCGAAGGCGGUCUACUAGAACACGUCCGACAGUGAGGGAUGAAAGCUGGGGGAGCAAACCGGAUUAGAUACCCGGGUAGUCUCAGCUGUAAACUAUGCAAACUCAGUGAUGCAUUGGCUUGUGGCCAAUGCAGUGCUGCAGGGAAGCCGUUAAGUUUGCCGCCUGGGAAGUACGUACGCAAGUAUGAAACUUAAAGGAAUUGGCGGGGGAGCACCACAAGGGGUGAAGCCUGCGGUUCAAUUGGAUUCAACGCCGGG